rnacentral:rRNA from 1 species
GAUGAACGCUAGCUACAGGCUUAACACAUGCAAGUCGAGGGGCAGCAUGGUCUUAGCUUGCUAAGGCCGAUGGCGACCGGCGCACGGGUGAGUAACACGUAUCCAACCUGCCGUCUACUCUUUGACAGCCUUCUGAAAGGAAGAUUAAUACAAGAUGGCAUCAUGAGUCCGCAUGUUCACAUGAUUAAAGGUAUUCCGGUAGACGAUGGGGAUGCGUUCCAUUAGAUAGUAGGCGGGGUAACGGCCCACCUAGUCUUCGAUGGAUAGGGGUUCUGAGAGGAAGGUCCCCCACAUUGGAACUGAGACACGGUCCAAACUCCUACGGGAGGCAGCAGUGAGGAAUAUUGGUCAAUGGGCGAGAGCCUGAACCAGCCAAGUAGCGUGAAGGAUGACUGCCCUAUGGGUUGUAAACUUCUUUUAUAAAGGAAUAAAGUCGGGUAUGCAUACCCGUUUGCAUGUACUUUAUGAAUAAGGAUCGGCUAACUCCGUGCCAGCCGCCGCGGUAA